rnacentral:rRNA from 1 species
UACGUAGGUGGCGAGCGUUGUCCGGAUUUACUGGGCGUAAAGGGCUUGUAGGCGGUCCGUUAAGUCCGAUGUGAAAUCUCCCGGCUCAACUGGGAGAGGUCAUUGGAUACUGGCGGACUAGAGGGGGGUAGAGGAAAGCAGAAUUCCUGGUGUAGCGGUGAAAUGCGUAGAUAUCAGGAGGAACACCGAUGGCGAAGGCAGGUCUCUGGGCCGAUACUGACGCUGAGGAGCGAAAGCGUGGGGAGCGAACAGG